CAUUUAGGAAAUGUUAUUGAUUCACAGCAAAGUACAGUGCAUAGGUAGGAAAUAAUGUGAAUUUUAUAAGGAAAUGGGUUAGUAAUAGAAAUACUACAUCAGACUUUGGGCCUUCAGAAUUAUAUUUUUAAAUAAAUAAUACAGGAAUUAUUUUUGCCAACCUGUACUUAAAUGCACGCAAGGAUCCUUAUUAGUGCCUGUUAGUUGCUUGCUCUACAACAUCCUGAUGGGUUUUAAUUCUUCUAUACCUAGGAGCAAGUGUAGCUUAAACAGUAAAGCUUUUGAGAGCUGAGAUAAUAAAAGAUUUUUUUCCAUCUCAUUCAAUCACGUUUACAAAGCAUACUUGUAGGGAGAAAGUCACUAUCAUAUAAACGAUAAUGCUUUGUAUUUUUAACAAAACCAUGCUGGUAUGUUUUGUGUUACUCCUUUUUUACAAGUAAAUUUUUUUUCUUGAAAUAAGAAAAUAAAAGCAUUAAUACUGUGAGGCUAGUUCAAAUGUGUGCUCUAACUGAUACUAUCAAAGUAAAGAAGGCACUUUUAAGAAUCAGGUUGUGUGAAUUAUGCUGGAUAUCUAUGAGCAUUAUUUUGAAGAGGCUUCAAAGCUUUCAGAAUGCAUAUAAAAUAUGGCAAAAUAACAAUAGAGAUCGUUUUUUUUCCCCUAAGUUUUAUCUUUUGCUUAUUUCCUUAACAGGUCGUUAAACUAAUUUUUUUUUUUUUCUGUUCAAGCCACACUGAACAGGACGCUUAGUUACUUGGUCACACAAAGGCUGGACAAGAUGAGGUGCCCAAAGAACACCUGUUGAAUUUAGACCUGCUGUUACUUGCUUGCUGUUCCAUUUGAACUUGUCAUGAGAAGUGGCAUAUCCUCAUUUGUUUUAUUAUCCUUCAAGCUGAAAUCUUCCCUAAAAGAUGGUAAUGUAGUCUGAGAUAGUACACCCUCAUCCACAGCCACUUGAGUGUAGAUCCACUGUGAAAUCAUUUCCCAUUUUGUAUAGGAGAUAAACUACAAUUUGCAGAUAACAUUCAAGUUAAUUAUCUCUUUUGAUUUGCACAUGUUACUUUUUGUUGCCCUUUACAUAUUGCUUUAAGCGCAAAAAGUUAUUUUAUAAUUACUUUGGCCCCCUGUUUUUUUUUUCUUUUUUUAAUUGUAAAAGCUCCAAGUUACAUGAGAUUGUAGUGUCAUGCAUUGGGUUAGAACUUCCUGAUCAGGUAUAAGUCAAAGAUCCUGGAAUUCAUGCAAAUAUUCAUAAGCUGUGACGUGACAAGAACUAGCAAGGAGAAUGAGUAUUUCAGUCACCAAGGCAGGGAGAUUUUUAUCAGCCAUUCUGUCUGAGCAAACGUACUGUGUCCAGCAGUCCAGUCUGAGGUCAUGGCUGCCCCAGAAUUUGGGCGGUUGGGGAUAUUUUGGGAUACUUUCAUUAGAAGGUACAGAGUACAGUUAAGAAACAGGCUUGGGGCGCCAGCAUAUGAUUAUGGCAAGACUGGCUGACCACUGGGAAAUUGCUGAGCCAACAGGCCGAGAGUCUGGUUGACCUCCCCUGGGGCCAAGUCCACAGAGAGUCACCACCCAACACACCUUCUGAGGGGUAAUCUGAAGCACUCAGUGUUCCAAAUACUCAUCUGAGCAACAGAUGUUUUUGUAAGACAAAAGUAUUGUACAUUUUCAAAGCCUCUGUUUAUGAAUCUUCUUGCCUUUCUAUUUUUAAAGGUGCCUGUAUCCAAAAAAAUAUCCCUUAUAUUUACUUUAGAAUGAUCCAGCGUCUUCGCUGCCUGUUUCACUGGUGGUUGUUGGGGGAGGGAGGGGGGCGGUGGGAGUUGUUGCAGAAAAGCUCUAACCACAAUGCGAAAGUCACUCACUUAGCAGGCUGCAAGUUACCAAGAGCCUGUUCAGAGAACCAUUAUAUAAAGCAGGAUAAUCGGAUAUAUCGCAGCCAUGAUCCUCAAAAAUUAAAAAAGUUUUCCAACCAUCUUGCUUAAAUACAGGAAACUGCGACAGCUUCAGGACAUCUAAGAUAAGAAUUAUAAACACAGAUUCUGAUACUUUGGAAAGCCUAAGGAAAAGUGACCUAAACGAAAAAGGGAGGAUAUUACGUAGAUCCUGCUCUUGGUAAGAAUACUGUUGCAAAAGGAUCAAAAGUACUUUUGAAUACAAUUUAUUGCUGUUGUUUUUGCUAAAUCAAAUAAAGGCUUUAAGCAAAAACAGGUUUCAAGCCUUC